rnacentral:misc_RNA from 1 species
UGGUUCUGGCAUCGAUGAAGAACGCAGCGAAAUGCGAUAAGUAAUGUGAAUUGCAGAAUUCAGUGAAUCAUCGAAUCUUUGAACGCACAUUGCGCCCGCCAGUAUUCUGGCGGGCAUGCCUGUUCGAGCGUCAUUUCAACCCUCAAGCCCCGCUUGGUGUUGGGGAUCGGCGUGCCCCGCAGCGGGCCGCCGUCCCCGAAAUGAAUUGGCGGUCUCGUCGCAGCCUUCCUUUGCGUAGUAGCAUACCACCUCGCAACCAGGAGCGCGGCGCGGCCACUGCCGUAAAACGCCCCAACUUCUCAAGAGUUGACCUCGAAUCAGGUAGGAAUACCCGCUGA